rnacentral:snoRNA from 1 species
AUGGGGCUCCCACCUGCUCACCCUGAGAAGCACUACAAACUCUGUGGUUUUGUUUUACUCACAGAAAUACUUUUUAGGUCUGUGAGAGAAAGACUACAAAACACUU